rnacentral:rRNA from 1 species
UACGUAGGUGGCAAGCGUUGUCCGGAUUAUUGGGUUUAAAGGGUGCGUAGGCGGCCCUGUAAGUCAGUGGUGAAAUACUCUAGCUUAACUAGAGGGGUGCCAAUGAUACUGCAGGGCUUGAGUACAGAUGAGGUAGGCGGAAUUGACGGUGUAGCGGUGAAAUGCAUAGAGAUCGGGAGGAACACCAGAGGCGAAGGCGGCGACCUGGACAGGUACUGACACUCAACUACGAAAGCGUGGGGAGCAAACAGG